UACGUAGGGAGCAAGCGUUGUCCGGAAUCAUUGGGCGUACAGCGCGCGUAGGUGGCCACAUAAGUCCGUUGUGAAAGUCAAAGGCUCAACCUUUGAAAGCCGAUGGAUACUGUGUGGCUAGAGUACGGAAGAGGCGAGUGGAAUUCCUGGUGUAGCGGUGGAAUGCGCAGAUAUCAGGAGGAACACCAAUAGCGAAGGCAGCUCGCUGGGACGUUACUGACACUGAGGCGCGAAAGCGUGGGGAGCGAACAGG
rnacentral:rRNA from 1 species